rnacentral:rRNA from 1 species
CCUACGGGCGGCAGCAGUGAGGAAUAUUGGUCAAUGGGCGGGAGCCUGAACCAGCCAAGUCGCGUGAGGGAAGACGGUCCUAUGGAUUGUAAACCUCUUUAGGCGGGGAGCAAUGCCGGGCACGCGUGCCCGGAGGGAGAGUACCCGCAGAAUAAGCAUCCGCUAACUCCGUGCCAGCAGCCGCGGUCAUACGGAGGAUGCGAGCGUUAUCCGGAUUUAUUGGGUUUAAAGGGUGCGUAGGCGGAUUUUUAAGUCAGUGGUAAAAUGUCCGGGCUCAACCCGGGCCGGCCGUUGAAACUGGGGAUCGUGAGUGGGCGGGAAGGAUGCGGGAUGCGUGGUGGAGCGGGUAAAUGCAG